ACUAAUUGUACUAACAAUCCUUUGAGAGCAUUCAUUGGGUGCCAAGGGCUCUUUUAAAUGCUUCCCUUAUUACCUAAUUUAAUUCUCACAAGCACACUAUGAUUACCCUUGUUUUAAGUCAGGAAACUGAGGCACAGAAAGGUUAUUGCAGUUCUAUGACAGGCAAGGUGAAGCUUGAGUGUUGGAGACAGCCUGUGGAGUCUGGAAGCAGGGCCUGCCUGCAAGAUGGUUGUCUGGACCCCUUGUGGCUGUUUCCCUGUGAGAAAGACUACGAUUCUGAGCCCACUUUUCUCUUCUGCUCAUUUCAAAGUUCUCACGCAGCUCCUCUGUCCACACAUGUGCCUAUAUGUCCGCACAUUUGACACCAUGGUCACCCAGACUCCAUAGACACUCACACAUGAGCCUCACCAUCAUAGAUUCACAGACACAUGUGCAGGCACUGUGCCACCUUGCCACAGAUACACACACACACACACACACACAGCACGAGUGGGCCUUCAGACCUUGUGGAUGCACUCACACUCACAUGGCCACACCAACUGACAGAUACACAUGUCCCGCCCAAAUCAUCGCCCCUGUUCUGCCUCCCGCAGUGAGAACCAAGCCUCAGGAGUGUGAAAGGGACUUGAGGGCGGGUAGUUACCCUUCCCCCAACCCCAGCGGCUGCAGAGUGGAAGGAACAGCAGGAAGAGGAGAGUGAAUUAAUCCUGGCCUGGCCUCCCUACCCCGGGCGCUCUGUGAUGCUAAUUCCCUCCGCCUUUGAUCCAGCUCAGGCCCCUAACUCUGAGCAGGAGCAGGAGCAGGCGCUGGCCUGGCCUGAGUUGAGGGCUGCCCUGGGUGAGGCCUGGGCAUAUCCCCUGUGUGGCAGAUGGGGGUUUCUACCCUGGGGGAGGGUCUUGGGGAUUAGAGCUCUGUCACUGGCCCUGGCAUUUACAAUGCACUCUCCUUUGCCAGAACUUUCUCAUUUUCUCUCCUCUCCAAGGGGGCCCUGGGGUUCCGCUUUUACUCAGGAGCAGAGUGAAGCCUGGGACUCCAGAGCUUCAGGGCCGGUGAGUGGUGGGUCCAGACCCUGAGCACAAUCUUCCCACCUCCAAUCUCACCCUGUUUCCACUGAGGGUCUUUGUUCUGUCAAUUUUUUAAAAAACCAAUAUUUAUGGAGUAUUCACUACACGCCAG
rnacentral:lncRNA from 1 species